GCUGUCUGGGGAACCGUAGAGAUAGAAAAGGUUAGCAUAGGAGGAAUCCACGGGCAAAUCCGCCCUCUCGUGCCUUUUGCCACUCGAGUGAGGCACAUUGAUAAGAAUCGCGCCAAAGCCCUGCGUUCUCCCCAUUGGUCGGCAUUUGGAGCGCGGUGGCUGAGGUCGCCGCGGAGGAGUCCAGUUGAGGGUUUUAACUACCUUGGCUGAGUUUGGAAACAGAAACGUUUUCUCAAAGCUUGAGCCAAACUGAAUCUACUGAAAGCUGUUCCGACCUCCUCCAAAAUGAAGGGAGCCCGAAGAAAGCGCGCGUCUUCUCUACUAAAUUUUGCUCGCUUGUGUAGUAAAAUAAGAUCAACAGUUACCUUUGGUAAAAUAAAGUUCCACAAAGGAAUCUUUCAAAACUUUAGUCAGACUGAACAUGUAAAGUGGGGUUUUUCCCAGAGAUGAUACUUUCUUCAGGAGGAGAAGCAGCCAUGAGUCAUGAAAUGGAUCAGA